AGACCCAGGGAGGAGAGUUGCACUGGGGAGAAGGAGAGAUGGGGAGCAGCCACCAGUAAGAGAGGUUUUAUCAAUCCCCACCGUCCAACAAUUACAUUCAUCUGCAUCUCCGGCUCAAGUCACUGCAGAGUCUCCCAGAUUCUCACAAGACUGCCAUUGUCCAGAAAUGUGUACAGAAUGCUCACUGCACCACGUUCAAGCCUGAGAAAGUCCCAAAUGCUCAAGGAGUAUACAACAUCACAGAGAAGACAUGAUUAAUAUUGAACAAACAUAUGCAAUAAUCCAGGCAAUGGAUAAGUGCCCACAAGUGACCUAGAGAGAGGGUCCCAUGAGCUAUACUGAUAAUGACAAUGGUGAUAGCAACUUUGGAAGCCAGUUAAUAUUGGAAUAUGGCAAAGCCACUAUCAGCCUGUUUCCUGAGGGAACGCAUAGAGCCGAACUUUCUCCCUGCGCCUACUCCAACAAUCUGGAAUGUCUGCCUUGGAAUAUUAUGUGAGAAAGAAAUAAACAUCUCUUGUGUUUGAACCA
rnacentral:lncRNA from 1 species